UACAGAGGGUGCGAGCGUUGUCCGGAAUCACUGGGCGUAAAGGGCGCGUAGGUGGUGGCUUAAGCGUGCGGUGAAAGCUCGGGGCUCAACCCCGAGUCGGCCGUGCGAACUGGGCUCACUGGAGCAUAGUAGAGGCAGGUGGAAUUCCGGGUGUAGCGGUGGAAUGCGUAGAGAUCCGGAAGAACACCGGUGGCGAAGGCGGCCUGCUGGGCUAUGGCUGACACUGAGGCGCGACAGCGUGGGGAGCAAACAGG
rnacentral:rRNA from 1 species